AUUGAACGCUGGCGGCAUGCUUUACACAUGCAAGUCGAACGGCAGCGCGGGCUUCGGCCUGGCGGCGCGUGGCGAACGGGUGAGUAAUGCAUCGGAACGUGCCCAGUAGUGGGGGAUAGCCCGGCGAAAGCCGGAUUAAUACCGCAUACGACCUGAGGGUGAAAGCGGGGGACCGAAAGGCCUCGCGCUAUUGGAGCGGCCGAUGUCGGAUUAGCUAGUUGGUGGGGUAAAGGCUUACCAAGGCGACGAUCCGUAGCUGGUCUGAGAGGACGACCAGCCACACUGGGACUGAGACACGGCCCAGACUCCUACGGGAGGCAGCAGUGGGGAAUUUUGGACAAUGGGGGCAACCCUGAUCCAGCCAUGCCGCGUGCGGGAAGAAGGCCUUCGGGUUGUAAAACGCUUUUGUUCGGGAAGAAAUCCUCUGGGCUAAUACCCCGGGGGGAUGACGGUACCGGAAGAAUAAGCACCGGCUAACUACGUG
rnacentral:rRNA from 1 species